CGGGUGUAGUUUAGUGGUAAAACCACAGCCUUCCAAGCUGUUGUCGCGAGUUCGAUUCUCGUCUUCGA
rnacentral:tRNA from 1 species